rnacentral:rRNA from 1 species
CCUACGGGUGGCAGCAGUCGAGAAUCAUUCACAAUGGGGGAAACCCUGAUGGUGCGACGCCGCGUGGGGGAAUGAAGGUCUUCGGAUUGUAAACCCCUGUCAUGUGGGAGCAAAUUAAAAAGAUAGUACCACAAGAGGAAGAGACGGCUAACUCUGUGCCAGCAGCCGCGGUAAUACAGGGGUCUCAAGCGGUGUUCGGAAUCACUGGGCGUAAAGCGUGCGUAGGCUGUUUCGUAAGUCGUGUGUGAAAGGCGCGGGCUCAACCCGCGGACGGCACAUGAUACUGCGAGACUAGAGUAAGGGAGAGGGAACCGGAAUUCUCGGUGUAGCAGUGAAAUGCGUAGAUAUCGAGAGGAACACUCGUGGCGAAGGCGGGUUCCUGGACAUUAACUGACGCUGAGGCACGAAGGCCAGGGGAGCGAAAGGGAUUAGAUACCCGGGUAGUC